CUUAUAAAAAAAAAACAAAUUACAGGAUUUUCUGCUUUCUUGCAAUAAACAAGAGCAUAAUCCAUGCCAAAGGGAAAAAACAGGAAAACCCAAAUUUCAUAAAUUGGCUAUGAUGCAUUUAAUACAGAUAUCCAAAUUUUACAAAAACCCAUCUUCUAUAAGCUAAUAGAAGGGGAAAACUGAAGAGAUUUAUUUAGCAGUGACACAGAUGUCCAAUUUCUACAAAAACCCAUCUUCUAUAAGCUAAUAGAAGGGGAAAACUGAAGAGAUUUAUUUAGCAGUGACACAGAUGUCCAAUUUCUACAAAAACCCAUCUUCUAUAAGCCAAUAGAAGGGGAAAAAUGAAGAAAAAGAAGUGGUAAGUGGACAAAUUAUUCAAGAAUACAGAGGACAAGACCAGUCUAACUUAGGCUACAGAACUUAAUAAAAGAUUUCUACUUAGUAAUACUUUGCAAGAAGGGGCUAACCAAGAUCAAGACUCCAUAAAGGCAUCUGAGUGAUACCGAGUUGGAGUUGCUGGUGUUGGUGGGCUUGAGAUGUGGGAACACCCAAUUUCUUUGUGCUUUUUACCAUUUGCGGCAAUUGCAGCAGCUGAUCUGAUGAUGUUCUUGACAAUCUUGAUCUUGAUUUGUCCUCUCUUUGGAGGAAUGAUCUGUUCAUGCUUUCUGGUGGAUUUGGAUGCUGGUAAUUCCAUUUCUUGGAACUUAUUGGAGACUGGAAAGGAUUUUUGAAGACAAAAGAGAGUGUAUCAAAGAACAGAGCCAAACAGAGCACAGAGAGAGAGAGAGAG
rnacentral:misc_RNA from 1 species